GGACCCGUAGCUCAGCCAGGAUGGAGCGCCGGCCUCCUAAGCCGGUGGUCGCGGGUUCGAAUCCCGCCGGGUCCG
rnacentral:tRNA from 3 species